rnacentral:lncRNA from 1 species
AACGUUCAAACUCGCCAAAACAAACUUUUCAUAACAACAAGCCAAACUCAUCAAAAGAACACUGAAACAACGGCUUAACACAAGGGAUUACUAAUUCAACACAUUCAUGCCAUUACACAUGCUAAAAAACCUUCAAACUGGCCAAAACGAACAAUGUUCAUAACAACAAGCCAAACUCAUCAAAAGAACACUAAAACAACAGCUUAACGCAUUCAUGCGAUUACACAUGCUCAAAAACGUUCAAACUCGCCAAAACAAACACUUUUCAUAACAACAAGCCAAACUCAUCAAAAGAACACUAAAACAACAGCUUAACACAAGGGAUUACUAAGUCAACACAUUCAUGCCAUUACACAUGCUAAAAAACCUUCAAACUGGCCAAAACCAACAAUGUUCAUAACAACAAGCCAAACUCAUCAAAAGAACACUAAAACAACAGCUUAACGCAUUCAUGCCAUUACUCAUGCUCAAAAACGUUCAAACUCGCCAAAACAAACACUUUUCAUAACAACAAGCCAAACUCAUGAAAAGAACACUAAAACAACAGCUUAACACAAGGGAUUACUAAUUCAACAUAUUCAUGCCAUUACACAUGCUCAAAAACCUUCAAACUGGCCAAAACGAACAAUGUUCAUAACAACAAGCCAAACUCAUCAAAAGAACACUAAAACAACAGCUUAACGCAUUCAUGCCAUUACACAUGCUCAAAAACGUUCAAACUCGCCAAGACAAACACUUUUCAUAACAACAAGCCAAACUCAUCAAAAGAACACUAAAACAACAUCUUAACGCAAGGGUUUACUAAUUCAACACAUUCAUGCCAUUACACAUGCUCAAAAACGUUCACACUCGCCAAAACAAACACUUUUCAUAACAACAAGCCAAACUCAUUAAAAGAACACUAAAACAACAGCUUAACACAAGGGAUUACUAAUUCAACACAUUCAUGCCAUUACACAUGCUCAAAAACCUUCAAACUGGCCAAAACGAACAAUGUUCAUAACAACAAGCCAAACUCAUCAAAAGAACACUAAAACAACAGCUUAACGCAUUCAUGCCAUUACACAUGCUCAAAAACGUUCAAACUCGCCAAAACAAACACUUUUCAUAACAACAAGCCAAACUCAUCAAAAGAACACUAAAACAACUUUUCAUAACAAGCCAAAAUCAUCAAAAGAACACUAAAACAACGGCUUAACACAAGGGAUUACUAAUUCAUCACAUUCAUGCCAUUACACAUGCUAAAAAACCUUCAAACUGGCCAAAACGAACAAUGUUCAUAACAACAAGCCAAACUCAUCAAAAGAACACUAAAACAACAGCUUAACGCAUUCAUGCCAUUACACAUGCUCAAAAACGUUCAAACUCGCCAAAACAAACACUUUUCAUAACAACAAGCCAAACUCAUCAAAAGAACACUAAAACAAAAGCUUAACGCAAGGGUUUACUAAUUCAACACAUUCAUGCCAUUACACAUGCUCAAAAACGUUCACACUCGCCGAAACAAACACUUUUCAUAACAACAAGCCAAACUCAUCAAAAGAACACUAAAACAACAGCUUAACGCAUUCAUGCCAUUACACAUGCUCAAAAACGUUCAAACUCGCCAAAACAAACACUUUUCAUAACAACAAGCCAAACUCAUCAAAAGAACACUUAAACAACUUUUCAUAACAAGCCAAAAUCAUCAAAAGAACACUAAAACAACGGCUUAACACAAGGGAUUACUAAUUCAUCACAUUCAUGCCAUUACACAUGCUAAAAAAUCUUCAAACUGGCCAAAACGAACAAUGUUCAUAACAACAAGCCAAACUCAUCAAAAGAACACUAAAACAACAGCUUAACGCAUUCAUGCCAUUACACAUGCUCAAAAACGUUCAAACUCGCCAAAACAAACACUUUUCAUAACAACAAGCCAAACUCAUCAAAAGAACACUAAAACAAAAGCUUAACGCAAGGGUUUACUAAUUCAACACAUUCAUGCCAUUACACAUGCUCAAAAACGUUCAAACUCGCCAAAACAAACACUUUUCAUAACAACAAGCCAAACUCAUCAAAAGAACACUAAAACAACAGCUUAACACAAGGGAUUACUAAUUCAACACAUUCAUGCCAUUACACAUGCUCAAAAACCUUCAAACUGGCCAAAACGAACAAUGUUCAUAACAACAAGCCAAACUCAUCAAAAGAACACUAAAACAACAGCUUAACGCAUUCAUGCCAUUACACAUGCUCAAAAACGUUCAAACUCGCCAAAACAAACACUUUUCAUAACAACAAGCCAAACUCAUCAAAAGAACACUUAAACAACAGUUAAACACAAGGGGUAACCAACUUAACAGAUGCAUGCCAUAACACAUGCUCACAUACCUUCAAUCUCGCCAAAACAAACUAUGAACCCAACAAGCCAACACAUCAAAACAACACAUAAACAACAGCUUAACCCAAGGGGUAACCAGUUCUAGAGAUAAACAUAUCAACUGCUUGUGAUAACACUGGCUCACUUAACCUUAAUCUCGCCAAAACAAACUAUAAUCAUAACAACAAGCCAACACAUCAAAACAACACUUUAACAACAGUUAAACAGAAGGGAUAACCAACUCAACAGAUGCAUGCCAUAACACAUACUCACAAACCUUCAAACUCGCCAAAACAAACUAUGAUCAUAACAACAAGCCAACACAUCAAAAGAACACUUAAACAACGGCUAAAAACAAGGGGUAACCAGUUCAACAGAUAAACAUAUCAACUGCAUGUGAUAACACUAGCUCACUUAAUUUCAAUUCCCAAAAAAACUAUCAAAACAACAAGCCAACACAUCAAAACAACACUUAAACAACAACUCAACAGAUGUGUGCCAUAAAACAUGCUCAUAUACCUUCAAUCUCGCCAAAACAAACUAUGAUCAUAACAACUAACCCUAACCCCUAACCCUACCCCUCACCCGAACCCUACCCCUAACCAUAACCCUAAUCCCUCACCCUUUCCCUAACCCCUAAGCCUAACCCGAACCCCCUAACCCUAAUCCCUAACCCUAACCCCCUAACCUUAACCCUAACCCUAACUCUAACCACCAAACCCUAACCACUAACCCCUAAUCCCUAGCCCUAAACUAACACCUAACUAGGUAUCUAACCCUAACCCUAACCAUCUAACCCUAGCCCUAACCCCUCUAACCCUAACCCUAACCCUAACCCUAACCCUAACCUCUCUGACCCUUGCCCUGACCCCUAACCCUAACCUUUAAAAAACUAAUAAUUUAUUUUAAUUAAUUCAUUUGAAUUCAUUUUUAAUUAUUAAAUUUCAUAGCAGGCUAAAAAUAGUAAUAAUUUCACAUUAAAACCAAAAGUAUUACAAAUGUAUAUCUAAUCUAAAAUCUAAAAAGGGAAUUAAGGGCUAAAAUAAAACUAUCUUUAAAAUUCAAACGCAUUACAAUUCUAAUUGACAAUUAUGGAUUUAAAAUAUAAAAGUUAAAAUUGGGCAUUAAAAUUACAAUUAAUUAAAUUUAAUCAGUUAAAAAGAGGGUAAAAAAAUUUUAAUUGGGCAUUAAAAGUACAAUUCAUUAAUCAGCUUCAGCAUUCCAAUUGACCAUCAACAUUCAUUUCAUUUAAAUUCAGUAGGCAUUUAGUGGUUCAUACACACACAGACUGCCGGAGCCUCUCCAUGACUCAUCAGAGUGCAGCUGCAUUCUUUGCUCUUCCCGCCUCUAUAAAUAGAACACACACACAAACCUUGGCUCCUCUCAUUCUGGCUGAGUCUGCUGAAGGGAGAACAUCUCACACCCUGAAUCAACAAGCCCAGACAUAUUUCUCACAGUGCCCAGAGCCUGAAGAAGACCCACAGCGGUCGAAACGUUGCGCAACUGGGCACUUUUCCCCCACACCUUUUCUUCAAUUCUUCAUUUAAAUAGACAUUUUAUUUUGUUAUUUUACUUUUAUUUCAUUUUUAUUUUAGAAAAAAAAAGCAUAAAAAAAUAAAGAACAUUUCAUUUAUUUUGUUAUUUUCAUAUACAGCUUUUGUUUUGAAUACCUUGAUUUGAAUACACAAAUAAAUGAAUAAAUAGUUUGAGAAAUACACCACAUUAAUAAAUAGUAAUAAAUAAUUAAAAAGGAUAAAAACAGUCAUGGCCUACGAUCAAUGGACUGAGGUGCAAUACAGGAGGAGGGGUGGUCGCCUCAAGUACCGUGACACCAAUCCACAAAAUCUCAGGAUGGUUCGACCUUGGUAAAGGCAAUGAACCGCCAUGUCAAAAGUGGCUCAAACCCCUAUAUCCCCGAACCUAACACAAAAAGCAUAAAAAAAUUUAAAACCAUUCAUUUAUUUUGUUAUUUUUACAUAUAGCUUUUAUUUUGAAUAUCUUGAUUCGAAUAAAUUAAUAAAUAGAUAGAUAAAUAAAUAAAUACAUAGUUUAAUAAAUACACCACAUUAAUAAAUAAUUAAAAACGAAAAAACAAUCAUUAGAUACGAUCAACAACAAUGGACUGAGACAACAUUCUCAGCAUUGUUCAGGAUUGUUAUCCUUUUUCUGUUGGUACAGCAGGUUAUGAGUAAGGCUCAUUGUGAGGUCCACCAUUAUACUCAGAAACAGAUGGAAUCAGCAACAUGACAGGAAUGCAGAAAUAUACUUCUGAAAAUUAAGUUAAGGUCCUUUUUAACAAUAACGGUAAUUUUGUUGACAUGAGGAAAUACAUCCCCUUUAAUGUAAACAAACUCUACAAAAACAUGUUCGAAGAACUUGACAAAAGCCAGGAAUGGGUGCUCUAGGGUUCCCAACCGUACCGUAAAAAACGGGAUCAUACCGUAUCUGAAAACAAAAAGACAUGUCGCGUAAUGAACUAAAACGGGAUGCUCCUUCUCCCGUACUUUCUGAAAGCGUCUCUCUCUGCCUAACACAUGCAUCUGUUGAGUUGGUUACCCCUUCUGUGUAGCUGUUAUUUGAUGUGUUGGCUUGUUAUGAUCAUAGUUUGUUUUGGCGAGAUUGAAGUUAAGUGAGCUAGUGUUCCUGCAUGCAGUUGAUGGGCUCUAUUUUCGUGCGCGCCGGUGAGGCGGCGGAGGGCGGCGAGCCCCGCGCAGUUGUAUUUUCGUCUGGCGGAGCCUGGCGUAAGUCCAGUUUGGUAUUUUUGUAGACUGAGCCUCACGGAGGCGAGCCGAGAUCCGCCAAGCUGGGCGUGGUGGCGUGGCAGGGGGAGGUGUCGACAGAAUCAGCAGGCGCAGUGACAUUUUCGUGCUCGCCACCGGCGUGUAAAGUGCGCUGAAAGCUCGCCGAUUCAAACCUGGUCAGCUUUCAGCGCAUGGCGGAGCGCAGCUGGUCUAGUAGUAUUUUGGUAGACCGGCGGCGUAUCGACAUACGUCACUGAUGCCCUGCAAUAAAUAAUCAUCAUCAACUAUUAAUCUGAGUCAGCACAUACAUUUAGAUCUAUAUUGAUAUAUUCUGAUCUAUAUGUGAUCUGAUGAGUGCGUUUGGCACGCGUUUGGACACACAACCUGACCGAAUCAACACAGCUAAAACCGCAUCAAAUUAAAUUAAAUAUCUAGUAAAUAAACACACAUGAUGAAGUUAACAAGAUAUGUAAUUUGUCUCCCUCCUUUUCUAUCUUCCUCUUCCUCUUAUUUCUCACACAGCUGGACCUGGACACGUCUCUGUGUCCUCUGUCCUUCUUGCUGCUGCUGCGGCUGAACAGAUGAUUUGUUUCAGUGCUCAGAUGUGUUAUCUACUUUAAGCCUACAUGCGAAUAUUAUAAUAUUCAGUUUUGUGAGGCAAAUUUAUUUUAUAUGCCAACAUCUAUGAAAGAAAGAGCCAGGUCACGGAGCGCGAUGCGUCAUUUACGCACAGAUGGUUCCAUUUUUAAUGCCAGUUUAUGUUGUGAUCUGUGCGCUCAACCCACCUUUGUCACGUGAGGUUUGAAUAUAUGCAACUUUAUGUGAGUGUCUUUAUUUGUGGAAAAGGGUGUUUGUCUUACCAGUGGGUCCAACAUUACACACACCAAAUCCAUCUGUGCUCAUAUGAGAGAGUGUGGAGGACACUUGUUGAGGAGCUGCCCUCUGUCGUCAUCUUGUGGCAUUACUGUCUUAAGACAUCUCUUGAUCUCUUUGACUACUUCAUGAAAAUAGUAAUACGCCUCGCCUGUGGCGGAUUUAAAGGCAAGGAGAGGAGCUUAUGUGAUUGGUGAAAACAGGUCUCGGCUGUGUUAAAUCCACUCCACGCCCUUUCUCCUCCCUGUCUACGACUUAUGCUGCUGGGAGGAGCUGAGUUAGGGAGGGGGGAUACUUACGCCGGGCUGCGCGGCUCACCAAAAUACCAAAAUGUGCUUGGGAACGCCUUGUCAGCGCGGCGGAUCUGACUGACGCUGCACUUGCGGCACGUCUCCGGCGAGGCACCAAAAUAGAGCCCGAUAUGUUUAUCUGUUGAACUGGUUACCCCUUGUGUUAAGCUGUUGUUUUUGUUCGUUUAGGCAAGAUUGAAGGUUUGUGAGCAUGUGUUUUGGCAUGCAUCUGUUGAGUUGGUUACCCCUUGUGAUUAGCUGUUGUUUAAGUGUUGUUUUGAUGUGUUGGCUUGUUGUUAUGAUCAUAGUUUGUUUUGGCGAGAUUGAAGUUAAGUGAGUCAUUUUUGUGUAUUUUUGUACCAUAGCAGUGGCGUUAUGUUUUGAAUGGACUCUCAAAGGCUCAAAAAAUUGUUUUUAGGUAAAAAAUUUACUAUUUUUGAUCAGGGCAGAAAUUAAUUGAGAGAUGUGUGAAAAAAAAUCUGGAAAACAUAUGAACCCAAUAUGUUAUUACAGCAGUCAAUGUCAGUGGCUUCUUUUAGCCACUGAGCGUUAACAACUGAUGUAAAUCUAACGGUUACACAAGGGUUAACUAAUCUCUGUUUAUUGACAACACUCAUACAAUUUUUUUUUUAAGGUUAUUGAAAAUGUCAGCAUGUAAAACACUUCUCCAACUGCUGCUUUUCUACAACUUCAUGUAUGUUUAACUGCAGCUAUGCUAAAAUUUCUACAUAAUUUCUUCUUGUUCUCCACCUCUUCAAGACAUUUAACAUUUAUACUUUUCUUCUUUCGUAGCAGUUCUGCAUGGCUGUUUUAUCAUUCAGCAUUUCCAUGCAUUUUCUGCAAGGAAACGCAGUUUUUCAAGUUGUAAUUGAUAAUCCUGUCGGCCGUUUUUUCUUCUAACACCAAUAUUUGUUACUUUUUCUCUCCUUCCCACUUUGUGCUAUUUUAACCAUUCAAACUUGAUAGUAAUGCACUCCCUAAGGACAUGAUAAGUAUUACUUUUCACCUUUCUACCAUUUAUACUCUUUGCAAUAUUUCACUUUUUCUGUACAAUUAGAAAUGAUCAUGAAAGUGCCAGAAUUCUUAAGAUGGUCUUAUUUUCAUUUUCUUCAUCACAGGGUGAUGAGCUUCAUUUACAAUAAUGGAAUAACAGCACCAACAGCACCACAGUCUCUUUAUUUAGGGUUGUCCCUGGUUACACAAUGGUACUAAAGGAUGGGGAAAAAAUAUGUGCACCAAUGUUAGCAUUCUCAUAAAACAUAAUUAUGAACAACAGAACAUAUGUGAGGGUCAAGGCAACACUUUUGACAUUAAACAAGCUCCUUCUGAUAGGAGCGGAUCCUCCUCAUUACUUCCCACGAUUCACAGUGGAGGAUACAUCACACACACACCUGCUAAUAGGAGAAACAAGGUCACAGAGAAGAUAAGAAACAUUUUUGUGCUGUGUAAUAAAGCUAUUGGAGAGAGAAGUUAGAAAACACUCUUAUACACUGUGUGCACAAUUAUUAGGCAAGUGAGUAUUUUGAUCAUAUCAUCAUUUUUAUGCAUAUUUUCCAACUCUAAGCUGUAUAAACUUGAAUGCUUAUUGGAUAUAAGCAUAUCAGGUAAUGUGUAUUGAGGGAGGCUGGGGCCUAAGGAGAUCAAAACCCUAUAUCAAGGUGUGCAUAAUUAUAAGGCAGCUUCUUUUCCUCAGGUAAAAUGGGCCAAAAAAGAGAUUUAAGUGACUAGAUAUUUGGGCGUGAUCACAGAACCAUCAAACAUUUUGAUGCAAAUAGUCAACAGGGUCGCAAGAAAUGUGUUAAGAAAAAAAGACGCGAAUUAACUGCCAAAGAUUUGAGAAGACUCAAACGUAAAGCUACCAGGAACCCAAUAUCCUCCAGUGCUGUCAUAUUCCAGAACUGCAACCUACCUGGAGUGCCCAGAAGUACAAGGUGUUCAGUGCUCAGAGACAUGGCCAAGGUAAGGAAGGCUGAAAUCUGACCACCACUGAACAAGACACAAGUCGAAAUGUCAAGACUGGGCCAAGAAAUAUCUGAAGAGAGACUUUUCAAAGGUUUUAUGGACUGAUGGGAUGAGAGUGACUCUUGAUGGACCAGAUGGAUGGACCCGUGGCUGGAUCAGUAAUGGGCACAGGGCUCCACUUCGAAUCAGACACCAGCAAGGUGGAGGCUGGGUACUGGUAUGGGCUGGUAUUAUUAAAGAUGAGCUAGCUGGACCUUUUCGAGAUGAAGAUGGACUUAAAAUCAACUCCCAAAUCCAAUGCCAGUUUUGAGAAGACACUUUCUUCAAGCAGUGGUACAGGCAAAAGUCUGCAUCUUUCAAGAAAACCAUAAUUUUUAUGCAGGACAAUGCUCCAUUGCAUGCAAUGAAGUACUCCACUAUAUGGCUCGCCAGUAAAGGCCUUAAAAACAAAAGAAUAAUGACAUGGCCUCCUUCUUCACCUGACCUAAACCCUGUUGAGAACUUGUGAGCCCUUCUUAAACGGGAAAUUUUCAGUGAAGGAAGACAGUACACCUCUCUGAACAGUGUCUGGAACAGUGUCUGGAAGGCUUUGGUUACUGCAACACAAAAAGUUGAUCGUCAACAGAUCAAGAAACUGAAAGACUCCAUAAAUGGAAGGCUUAUGACUGUUAUUGAGAAGAAGGGUAGUAACAUUAGUCACAGAUUUUUUAUUUUUAUUUCAAUUUUUAUUUGUAAAUUGAGUUGUUUGUUUAUCAUUCUCACUUUAACCAGUGAAAAUAAACAAAUGAGAUGGAAAAUUUUUCAUUUUCAAUUUAGUUGCAUAAUAAUUCUGCACACUAAUAGCUGCCCCCAAUAAGUGUGCACACAUAGAUAUUCUCCUAAGGAAGCCAAAAUCUCACUUUUACUCCCUUAAAUAUUCAGGUUUGAGGUUAAUUAAAAUUUUGGAUUGACCAAGAGCACUGCAGUUGUUGAAAAAUAAAGUUUAUCCUCAAAAAUACAACUUGCCUAAUAAUUCUGCACACAGUGUAUGAUGUGUAACAAGAGGUUAAAACAGUUCAUACUUAUAGCAAACUCUUACAUAAGAAUUUGAGUAAGAUGAUAACUUCUAUAUAUAUUUAUACACAUUAUUCUGACAGUAACCAUAGUAAUUUUUGAUUAUGGUAUGACAGCACCAUCUAGUGGUGUGUACUUUUCACCUUUCUACCAUUUAUACUUUUUGCAAUAUUUCACUUUUUUUCUGUACAUUUAGAAAUGAUCAUGAGAGUGCCAGAAUUCUUAAGAUGGUCUUAUUUUCAUGAUACCACUUAGAAAAACUGCGCCAGGUAAAGAAGUUCAGACGGUAUCCACUUCACCCAUGGUGGAGCACUUCUCAUGUGUUGUGUGCUUGUCGAUUUCCUUCACACCCUGUCCACACGCACUACUCCAUCUUGCGGUGCGCUUCAGCUUGGUAAGUUAGUAACUGAAGCACACUAUAGGGUAGUGUUGUGCCGCUACCAGUGACUAUGGUUACAUGCUGCUGACUGCAAACCUCUUUUGAAUAUUUCAACAUUUCAUGGGGAGUUUGUAAUGUAUAAAUCUCUAGGCACUUGUCGUUCCAAAGCA